GAUGAACGCUGGCGGCGUGCCUAGUACAUGCAAGUCGAGCGAACGGACGAGAAGCUUGCUUUUCUGAUGUUAGCGGCGGACGGGUGAGUAACACGUGGAUAACCUACCUAUAAGACUGGGAUAACUUCGGGAAACCGGAGCUAAUACCGGAUAAUAUUUUGAACCGCAUGGUUCAAAAGUGAAAGACGGUCUUGCUGUCACUUAUAGAUGGAUCCGCGCUGCAUUAGCUAGUUGGUAAGGUAACGGCUUACCAAGGCAACGAUGCAUAGCCGACCUGAGAGGGUGAUCGGCCACACUGGGACUGAGACACGGUCCAGACUCCUACGGGAGGCAGCAGUAGGGAAUCUUCCGCAAUGGGCGAAAGCCUGACGGAGCAACGCCGCGUGAGUGAUGAAGGUCUUCGGAUCGUAAAACUCUGUUAUUAGGGAAGAACAUAUGUGUAAGUAACUGUGCACAUCUUGACGGUACCUAAUCAGAAAGCCACGGCUAACUACGUG
rnacentral:rRNA from 1 species